rnacentral:rRNA from 1 species
GUGAGGGAUAUUGGGCAAUGGGGGAAACCCUGACCCAGCAACGCCGCGUGAGGGAAGAAGGUCUUCGGAUUGUAAACCUAAGUAGUCAGGGACGAAGGAAUGACGGUACCUGAAGAGUAAGCUCCGGCUAACUACGUGCCAGCAGCCGCGGUAAUACGUAGGGAGCGAGCGUUGUCCGGAAUUACUGGGUGUAAAGGGUGCGUAGGCGGGCUGUCAAGUCAGAUGUGAAAUACCGGGGCUUAACUCCGGGGCUGCAUUUGAAACUGAUGGUCUUGAGUGAAGUAGAGGCAGGCGGAAUUCCUAGUGUAGCGGUGAAAUGCGUAGAUAUUAGGAGGAACACCAGUGGCGAAGGCGGCCUGCUGGGCUUUAACUGACGCUGAGGCACGAAAGCAUGGGGAGCAAACAGGAUUAGAAACCCUAGUAGUCC